rnacentral:rRNA from 1 species
AUUGAACGCUGGCGGCAGGCCUAACACAUGCAAGUCGAGCGGAGCGGCGGACGGGUGAGUAAUGCCUAGGAAUCUGCCUGGUAGUGGGGGAUAACGUCCGGAAACGGGCGCUAAUACCGCAUACUAUCAGAUUAGCCUAGGUCGGAUUAGCUAGUUGGUGGGGUAAAGGCCUACAAAGGCGACGACCCGUACCUGGUCUGCGAGGAUGAUCAGUCACACUGGAACUGAGACACGGUCCAGACUCCUACGGGAGGCAGCAGUGGGGAAGAUUGGACAAUGGGCGAAAGCCUGAUCAAGCCAUGCCGGGUGUGUGAAGAAGGUCUUCGGAUUGUAAAGCACUUUAAGUUGGGAGACGUUACCAAAAGAAUAAGCACCGGCUAACUACGUGCCAGCAGCCGCGGUAAUUC